rnacentral:rRNA from 3 species
UUAAGUUAUUAAGGGCGCACGGUGGAUGCCUUGGCACUAGAAGCCGAUGAAGGACGUUACUAACGACGAUAUGCUUUGGGGAGCUGUAAGUAAGCUUUGAUCCAGAGAUUUCCGAAUGGGGAAACCCAGCAUGAGUUAUGUCAUGUUAUCGAUAUGUGAAUACAUAGCAUAUCAGAAGGCACACCCGGAGAACUGAAACAUCUUAGUACCCGGAGGAAGAGAAAGAAAAUUCGAUUCCCUUAGUAGCGGCGAGCGAAACGGGAAGAGCCCAAACCAAAAAGCUUGCUUGUUGGGGUUGUAGGACACUCUGUACGGAGUUACAAAGGACGACAUUAGACGAAUCAUCUGGAAAGAUGAAUCAAAGAAGGUAAUAAUCCUGUAGUCGAAAAUGUUGUCUCUCUUGAGUGGAUCCUGAGUACGACGGAGCACGUGAAAUUCCGUCGGAAUCUGGGAGGACCAUCUCCUAAGGCUAAAUACUCUCUAGUGACCGAUAGUGAACCAGUACCGUGAGGGAAAGGUGAAAAGCACCCCGGAAGGGGAGUGAAAUAGAACCUGAAACCGUGUGCUUACAAGUAGUCAGAGCCCGUUAAUGGGUGAUGGCGUGCCUUUUGUAGAAUGAACCGGCGAGUUACGAUUUGAUGCAAGGUUAAGCAGUAAAUGUGGAGCCGUAGCGAAAGCGAGUCUGAAUAGGGCGUUUAGUAUUUGGUCGUAGACCCGAAACCAGGUGAUCUACCCUUGGUCAGGUUGAAGUUCAGGUAACACUGAAUGGAGGACCGAACCGACUUACGUUGAAAAGUGAGCGGAUGAACUGAGGGUAGCGGAGAAAUUCCAAUCGAACCUGGAGAUAGCUGGUUCUCUCCGAAAUAGCUUUAGGGCUAGCCUCAAGUGAUGAUUAUUGGAGGUAGAGCACUGUUUGGACGAGGGGCCCCUCUCGGGUUACCGAAUUCAGACAAACUCCGAAUGCCAAUUAAUUUAACUUGGGAGUCAGAACAUGGGUGAUAAGGUCCGUGUUCGAAAGGGAAACAGCCCAGACCACCAGCUAAGGUCCCAAAAUAUAUGUUAAGUGGAAAAGGAUGUGGCGUUGCCCAGACAACUAGGAUGUUGGCUUAGAAGCAGCCAUCAUUUAAAGAGUGCGUAAUAGCUCACUAGUCGAGUGACACUGCGCCGAAAAUGUACCGGGGCUAAACAUAUUACCGAAGCUGUGGAUUGUCCUUUGGACAAUGGUAGGAGAGCGUUCUAAGGGCGUUGAAGCAUGAUCGUAAGGACAUGUGGAGCGCUUAGAAGUGAGAAUGCCGGUGUGAGUAGCGAAAGACGGGUGAGAAUCCCGUCCACCGAUUGACUAAGGUUUCCAGAGGAAGGCUCGUCCGCUCUGGGUUAGUCGGGUCCUAAGCUGAGGCCGACAGGCGUAGGCGAUGGAUAACAGGUUGAUAUUCCUGUACCACCUAUAAUCGUUUUAAUCGAUGGGGGGACGCAGUAGGAUAGGCGAAGCGUGCGAUUGGAUUGCACGUCUAAGCAGUAAGGCUGAGUAUUAGGCAAAUCCGGUACUCGUUAAGGCUGAGCUGUGAUGGGGAGAAGACAUUGAGUCUUCGAGUCGUUGAUUUCACACUGCCGAGAAAAGCCUCUAGAUAGAAAAUAGGUGCCCGUACCGCAAACCGACACAGGUAGUCAAGAUGAGAAUUCUAAGGUGAGCGAGCGAACUCUCGUUAAGGAACUCGGCAAAAUGACCCCGUAACUUCGGGAGAAGGGGUGCUCUUUAGGGUUAACGCCCAGAAGAGCCGCAGUGAAUAGGCCCAAGCGACUGUUUAUCAAAAACACAGGUCUCUGCUAAACCGUAAGGUGAUGUAUAGGGGCUGACGCCUGCCCGGUGCUGGAAGGUUAAGAGGAGUGGUUAGCUUCUGCGAAGCUACGAAUCGAAGCCCCAGUAAACGGCGGCCGUAACUAUAACGGUCCUAAGGUAGCGAAAUUCCUUGUCGGGUAAGUUCCGACCCGCACGAAAGGCGUAACGAUUUGGGCACUGUCUCAACGAGAGACUCGGUGAAAUCAUAGUACCUGUGAAGAUGCAGGUUACCCGCGACAGGACGGAAAGACCCCGUGGAGCUUUACUGUAGCCUGAUAUUGAAAUUCGGCACAGCUUGUACAGGAUAGGUAGGAGCCUUUGAAACGUGAGCGCUAGCUUACGUGGAGGCGCUGGUGGGAUACUACCCUAGCUGUGUUGGCUUUCUAACCCGCACCACUUAUCGUGGUGGGAGACAGUGUCAGGCGGGCAGUUUGACUGGGGCGGUCGCCUCCUAAAAGGUAACGGAGGCGCUCAAAGGUUCCCUCAGAAUGGUUGGAAAUCAUUCAUAGAGUGUAAAGGCAUAAGGGAGCUUGACUGCGAGACCUACAAGUCGAGCAGGGUCGAAAGACGGACUUAGUGAUCCGGUGGUUCCGCAUGGAAGGGCCAUCGCUCAACGGAUAAAAGCUACCCCGGGGAUAACAGGCUUAUCUCCCCCAAGAGUUCACAUCGACGGGGAGGUUUGGCACCUCGAUGUCGGCUCAUCGCAUCCUGGGGCUGUAGUCGGUCCCAAGGGUUGGGCUGUUCGCCCAUUAAAGCGGUACGCGAGCUGGGUUCAGAACGUCGUGAGACAGUUCGGUCCCUAUCCGUCGUGGGCGUAGGAAAUUUGAGAGGAGCUGUCCUUAGUACGAGAGGACCGGGAUGGACAUACCUCUGGUGUACCAGUUGUCGUGCCAACGGCAUAGCUGGGUAGCUAUGUGUGGACGGGAUAAGUGCUGAAAGCAUCUAAGCAUGAAGCCCCCCUCAAGAUGAGAUUUCCCAACUUCGGUUAUAAGAUCCCUCAAAGAUGAUGAGGUUAAUAGGUUCGAGGUGGAAGCAUGGUGACAUGUGGAGCUGACGAAUACUAAUCGAUCGAAGACUUAAUCAA